GCUCUAGCUCACCAUGCAGGACAAAGGUAAGUCCGUACUUAAUGUCAACACAAAUAAGUAGAAAAGGUUUAAAAAUGAUGUCGUGAACUGACUGUAGUCUCUUGUUUUUACAUAAGGUAUAGCCUGUGGCUCAGGGAUCAGAGGUGCUUUACACUUGUCCUCUCCCAGCAUUCAGCACUUCAGACUGAAAUGACAAACUGGAGAGUGGUGCUGUGUUCCAGCUAUGGCAGCUGAGAGUGGACAGAGCUGCACAGAGGACCAAAGAUCCACUCUCAGCACUUCAUACCUGACUGGCCACAGCACCACCCCUCCUCACCAUGCACAGAGGGAGUUGUGAACAUGCACUUCUGUGUCGGUGGGUUUAGGAGCCUCCUCACACUCACACGGAUGAAGACUGUCACUGGAAGAUGUCUCCAUUGCAUCAGCAGGACGUAAGCAUUUGUAUAAUAUUACAGUU